ACUCCUACGGGAGGCAGCAGUGGGGAAUAUUGCACAAUGGGGGAAAGCCCUCGAUCCAGCCAUGCCGCGUGAGCGAUGAAGGCCUUAGGGUUGUAAAAGCUCUUUCAGGUGGGAAGAUAAAUGACGGUACCACCAGAAGAAGCCCCGGCUAACUCCCGUGCCAGCAGCCGCGGUAAUACGGAGGGUGCGAGCGUUAUCCGGAUUUAUUGGGUUUAAAGGGUCCGUAGGCGG
rnacentral:rRNA from 1 species